GAUGAACGCUGGCGGCGUGCCUAAUACAUGCAAGUCGAGCGAACGGACGAGAAGCUUGCUUCUCUGAUGUUAGCGGCGGACGGGUGAGUAACACGUGGAUAACCUACCUAUAAGACUGGGAUAACUUCGGGAAACCGGAGCUAAUACCGGAUAAUAUUUUGAACCGCAUGGUUCAAAAGUGGAAGACGGUCUUGCUGUCACUUAUAGAUGGAUCCGCGCUGCAUUAGCUAGUUGGUAAGGUAACGGCUUACUAAGGCAACGAUGCAUAGCCGACCUGAGAGGGUGAUCGGCCACACUGGAACUGAGACACGGUCCAGACUCCUACGGGAGGCAGCAGUAGGGAAUCUUCCGCAAUGGGCGAAAGCCUGACGGAGCAACGCCGCGUGAGUGAUGAAGGUCUUCGGAUCGUAAAACUCUGUUAUUAGGGAAGAACAUAUGUGUAAGUAACUGUGCACAUCUUGACGGUACCUAAUCAGAAAGCCACGGCUAACUACGUG
rnacentral:rRNA from 1 species